rnacentral:rRNA from 1 species
UACGUAGGGGGCAAGCGUUGUCCGGAAUCAUUGGGCGUAAAGCGUCCGCAGGUGGCGAUGUAAGUCUGCUGUUAAAGAGUGAGGCUCAACCUCAUAAGAGCAGUGGAAACUACAUAGCUAGAGUACGUUCGGGGCAGAGGGAAUUCCUGGUGUAGCGGUGAAAUGCGUAGAGAUCAGGAAGAACACCAGUGGCGAAGGCGCUCUGCUAGGCCGUAACUGACACUGAGGGACGAAAGCUAGGGGAGCGAAUGGG